GACCAACAACUCGGCACACAAACGCACACAACAUGACUAAGGCUAAAGGAAAUGACAGGAUCAGCAGAUUGGAGGUGCUCGUGGAGAGGAUGACCGCUAUAGCCCCCGGCAAAACCAAACGGAAGAACCGGAAGGCCAAACCGGCCAGAUCAUCUGUCGUCACGGCACCAGUUGUUGGCAGCGCCAUCAUUCGCAGCCGCGUGCCCAAGGUCCUGAACAGUAGGGAAGGCGUCGUGGUAUCUAACACGGAGAGAUUCUCCAUUCUUACGACAGCCGUCGGCGUAGCGACCUUCUCCAGGAUCGACAUUACACCCUCGAACGUGCUAUGGCUGAAUGGGGUGGCUAUUAAUUACUCCAAGUACCGGUGGAUAUCUGUGCAGAUGUACUACAUACCUAUCGUUCCUACAACACAGACAGGUCUCAUGGCGAUGGGGUUCGUAUAUGAUGUCAAUGACAGCAUGACGGGCACCACGGUGGGGAUGGUUCAACAGAUGUAUGGAGCGGUCAGUGGCCCUAUUUGGGCUGGGUAUGAGGGUGGAUCGGGCUUGAACACACCAGGUACUAAGGUUCCUACUGGUGCUUUAUGCAUCACGCUGGAUACUGGGAGGCUUGAUAAGUCAUACUACAAGUACGCCACUGUAGCACAAAUAGGGGCCAUGUCGGGGCCAGAGGCGGCAAUGUACGUGCCGGCAAGCGUGGUUUGGGCAACUGACUCAGCUGCUGUCGCACAGGGCGGCGCUGGGCAGAUUAUGGCCAAAUACACCGUCGAACUGCUUGAACCUAUACCAGCUACACUUAACGACUAGUGUGCGCAUAGGGGCCUCUUGAACAAGACCAGUUCAUGGAUGCAGAAUACGAGCAAGUCAGUAGGCCAUGGAACGAGCUAUACAAGGAAGCGACGCUUGGCAACAAACUGGUGGUCAACGUCGGGUCGGAGGAUGCGGAGAUUCCUUUGCUCCCUUCCAACUACCUGACGAAAGCCCGACUAGCGAUGAGUGGCGGUUACAUCACGAUGCGUAUGAUCCGGAUACGGAUUGUCCCCUUGGUUUCAAGGAAUUCUGGAGUGUCGGGAAGGCUAUUUCUAAGAGAUAUCACAGAUACGACUGGAAAGAAGCUUCACUCGACAGAGCUCUUGGAUCUUGGCAAGGAGAUAAGGUUAUCACUGAGGCAUCUCGAUUUCUCGGUGUCGACCAGGUCAGCUGUACCUAUAGUAUUCGGGUUCGAGGAGUUAGUAUCACCCUAUCUGGAGGGUCGAGAGCUCUUCUCCGUCUCGUUUCGAUGGCAGAUCGGAUUAAGCGCUCAGAGCUACAGUUUGCCACAAGUGCCGUGGAAAGUGUUGUAUCAAGAGGAUGCCCUGAGGAGGAAACUCCCAAAGAAAGCGAAUAAGACAAACUCUCCGCCUAAUGUCUGAUGAUGUGAGGAACGUGGACUGUGAUGUGGUGGUGCGGUACCAUGGCUGGUCACCAUGGUAAUGCGUAGGGCAACACAGUUCAUUAAGACUCACUGAUGAUGGCACUAGGCACGGUUCACCCCCAUCCUUCGGGAGGGCUAUAGGGGGUGACCGGGUUACACCACCGGAAGACCGGAACAUUGCCUUUGGGCAGCCC
rnacentral:misc_RNA from 1 species